AGACUGCUGGUUGCCAUGGGGCGUGUUCAACACGUCGGAUGGGCUGCAUCAUGCCGCCUGUACCAACCGCCUGUGCCAGGGUGCUUGUCUGCUUGGUUGUCAAGGAAGACUCAAGUCAACAGAAGGGAAAGAUCCAUAAGGUGGGAAGAAAUGUUCUCCUUGAAUUGUGAUUCCGGAGACUAUGACUAAGGUUAUGAAACAGCCUAUUUCCUUUGCAGUUUUCCUGCCUUAUGACACAUCUCUUCUCAUUUUUCUCACAUUCUAGAGACCCAAUCUGAGAGGGAGCGUGUAGUUUCCAUCCUUCUUGGCUUAUUAUUUUUAUUACUCCCCUCCUUAGAUGCUCUGUAAGCUUCUGAGUUUGUUUGUUUGUUUGUUUGUUUGUUUGUUUAAGGGCCAGUUAUUUAAAACGUUUGAUGGUGUCCUCUGAUAUCCAUUGCUUGACUUAUUAACAUGUUCUCUUAAUAUUCCUACAGUCGGCAAUAGCUAACAGCUUGCUGAAGUUGCUAUGCUGUGGUUUCUUCUAAACUUGUCUGCUAGUGAGGGAGCUGGGGAGAUUCCCAUGCACAGAAAGAGGCAGGACUUCUCACCGGAAGGUUACACAAAGCAGACAGGAAUAAACUCCCUGGCUAAAGUGCGGCUCAGACCAAAAUAGAUCCACAUCUAUUGGAAUUGACAUGGAAGGCCAGUGGGGUUGGCACAUGGGGCAGGAGAAACACAAGAGUCCAAAUUGAGAUGGGCUGGGGAUAGAGAGGGCUGUUUGGAAAUCAGGAAGAUUCUGCACUAAGAAGAUGAGGUGAGUUCCUGAUGGGGACUUUGCUCAAAGCCAUGUGUCCAUUGGAGACAUAAAAAGAUGUUGUCUGACUAUCUAACAGGGGUCUCAGAUCUGUGCUGUUAGUACUUCUCUCUGGAAAAUUCCACUGGGAUUCUUCUCUUUGAUGUCACUGCCCUCCACUGACGUAGGACUGGGCCAUCAGGAUACAUGACAGCAUAAAUGUUAGACUGACAAAUGACUACGAGUAAAGAAACAGGAAUCCUGGUUUGGAGAGGCUGUUCAAUGGGUGUGAAUGCUUGCUUCAAAGUAUAACAACUUGAAUUCAGAUCCCCUGCACACAGGAACCAAAAACUAGGCAACUGUGAUCUCAGCACCUUCACAGGUGAAGACAGGAGGAUACCAGAGCUUUGUUGGCUGCCAGCCUAGCUCCAGGUUCACUGUGAGACCCGAGGGAACAGAGAAGAAAGUGAUAGACAGAACCAUCAAUGUCCUCAUGUGACCUCAACAUGUGUACACCUGCACAUAUACCACAAACACACAUGUACACACACAUACACAAGCGUAUACAUACACGCAAAUGCACACGUACUAAUAUACACAAACACAUACACACACACAUACAAACACACACACACAACACAACUGAACUUUGCAUCAAGAUUUUAAGACCUUGAUCACCACCCCAGAAAGCUUAGGCAGAGCUUCAAGGGAAAUUUUGUUUUAUGCCAGCAAUAACCAGCUUGCUUUCCUUAAAACAGACAUUAUUUUGUACUACAAAAAUAGUUUUAGGUUUGAGAAUUGCUGCUUGCUACAUAUUUCUCUCUUUCAGUAUCUGUUCUAUUCAUUAAUGUAUUCAAUCCUUCAAAGUUCUUCAGAAGGUAGCACAUUUCUUUUGUAUUGUGUGUAUGUGUCUGUGUGUAUGUGUUUGUAUGUAUUUGUACAUGUGUAUUCACAUGUAUGUGUACACUUGUGUGUGUGUGUGUGUGUGUGUGUGUGCUUAUCUCCACAAAAUAUCCAAAAUAACAGUUUAUCUGUUUAUAUUCCUAGUACUAUAACAGAAAUAUUCAAGCACCCACUGAGGUAUUUAAAAUACUAUUUCUACUUGAUCCUUUUUAAUGCUUAUUUAGUUUUUAAGUUUUAUUUAUUGAAAUUGUUCAUUUUUAUUUACAUGUGCAUUGGUGUUUUGCUUGUAUACAUGUCUGUGUGAGCCUGUCAGAUCCCCUGGAAUUGAAGUUACAGACAGUAGUGAGUUGUAGGUGCUGAGAAUUGAACUUGGGUCCUCCGGAAGAGCAGCCAGAGUGCUCUUAACUGCUGAGCCAUCUCUCCAGCUCCAGCUUUAUUUAAUUUUAUUCAAUGUGUGUAGGGGUUUUACCUGCAUGUAUAGCUGUGUAGCACAUACAUGCAGUACAUAUGGAGACCAGGAAGAAGUCACAGAUUCGCUCUUGUACUUGUACGCUGCCAUAUGGGUCCUCCAGGAGAGCAGCAAGGCUUUUAACCAUUGAGUCACCGCUCUAGCCCACUACUUGAUCUUCUAAAAAUAAGUUCUUAUUUGUUUGUUUAACUUAAUGGGAGUGGAGUACAUACAUGCAUGCUGCUCAGAAGGCAACCUGUGAGAGUUGUUUCUCUGCGUUCACCAUGUAGGCUCUGAGGAAGCAACUGAGGUCACCGGGCAUGGCGGCAGGAGCCCUGCUUUACCCAAGAAGGUAUCUUUGCAGGCUGUUGAUCUUUUUACAUGGACGUGGACUUCUGUCUUUUCUGGGCUGCUCCCUUGAACACGUUGUAAAAUGCAUGUUUAUGUUUGAAAUCAAACUGACUUCCCUAUCAGCAGGGACCUGUGCUAGGUGUGACCUGGGAAAGGAUUAGCUGCAAUUCCUGUUUCUUCUGAAUCUCCCUCUCGAGAAUUUGCAGCUCAGCAGCUUCCUCGUUGGGACAGUGAGCAAGCAAAGGUGUUCAAUUGGAUCAGAGCGCAAGGACACCAGAAACUUCAACAAUCAAAACAAAAUUAUUCAGAGGAGCAAAGAGAAAAAUGAUGGUCCUUUUUCUCACUCUUAUAUUUCACUGCUACACAGUUCCUGUUAAGCCAGGAUUGCCAAAGAUGAGUUAAACACAAAGCUGGUGCCGUAUUUUACUGUUCAUCCGUUAACUGGGAGCUCCUGCCCUUUCAGUACUGAGCUGUCCCGUCUCUCUGGUGUCUGACUUGUGAAUUGGAAGCUGGAAUGCAGGUCUAGCAGUUCCCUUGAAUAUAUUUUUUUCUGUUUG
ensembl:lincRNA Gm28497 predicted gene 28497